UAAGCGGUUGAAGGUGUGUGGUAACGCAUGCUGGACGUAUCAGAAGUGCGAAUGCUGACAUGAGUAACGAUAAAGGGGGUGAAAAACCUCCUCGCCGGAAGACCAAGGGUUCCUGUCCAACGUUAAUCGGGGCAGGGUAAGUCGACCCCUAAGGCGAGGCCGAAAGGCGUAGUCGAUGGGAAACGGGUUAAUAUUCCCGUACUUCUUACAAUUGCGAUGGGGGGACGGAGAAGGCUAGGUGGGCCUGGCGACGGUUGU
rnacentral:rRNA from 1 species